rnacentral:rRNA from 1 species
CCUACGGGAGGCAGCAGUGGGGAAUAUUGCACAAUGGGGGGAACCCUGAUGCAGCGACGCCGCGUGAGUGAAGACGUAUCUCGGUACGUAAAGCUCUAUCAGCCGGGAAGCAAAUGACGGUACCUGACUAAGAAGCCCCGGCUAACUACGUGCCAGCAUCCGCUGUAAUCCUUAGGGGGCAAGCGGUAUCCGGAUUUACUCGGUGUAAAGGGGGCGUAGAUGGCAGCAUAAGUCUGGAGUGAAAUCCCGGGGAUUAACCCCGGAACUGCUUUGGAAACUGGGCGGCUGGAGUGCAGGAGGGGUAAGCGGAAUGCGUAGUGUAGCGGUGAAAUGCGUAGAUAUUAGGAGGAACACCGGUGGCGAAGGCGGCUUACUGGACUGUAACUGACGUUGAGGCACGAAAGCGUGGGGAGCAAACAGGAUUAGAUACCCCUGUAGUC